rnacentral:lncRNA from 1 species
CCGUAGAUGCAAAGAUUCAUUCUCAUUCGUAUGAGAUUCGAGGUUUUGGAUGAUAUUGUGACGUCACAUGUUUCUGUGACUAAUCAUCUGUUAUUUGAAGAAAUUGAAGUGAGGUGUAAUUAAAACUUUUAUAGAUUGGAUCGUAAGUGGCAACUUUGAUAUCUUUCAUAACAUUUUAUCAAACUUGAUAAGUUUGUGUCUCUAUCCUUGU